rnacentral:rRNA from 1 species
GUGCCAGCCGCCGCGGUAAUACAGAGGGUGCGAGCGUUAAUCGGAAUUACUGGGCGUAAAGCGCACGUAGGCGGCUUUGUAAGUCGGAUGUGAAAUCCCCGGGCUCAACCUGGGAACUGCACCCGAAACUACAUUGCUAGAGUAUGGGAGAGGGAGGCGGAAUUUCCGGUGUAGCAGUGAAAUGCGUAGAUAUCGGAAGGAACAUCAGUGGCGAAGGCGGCCUCCUGGACCAAUACUGACGCUCAGGUGCGAAAGCGUGGGGAGCAAACAGGAUUAGAAACCCUCGUAGUCC